AACGGCCGUACCAUGCUGAAUAUGCCGGUUCUCGUUAGAUCACCGAAGUCAAGCAUCAUUGGGCGCGGUCAGUACUUGGGUGGGGGACUACCUGGGAACACUGCGUGCCGUU
rnacentral:rRNA from 1 species